rnacentral:lncRNA from 1 species
CUAUUUGCUUUUGAUCUCCUAUUUUGUGUAGACAACCUUAAGAAGAAAAUUUCAGUCUCUGAUACUCCUGUCUGAGAAGGACUUUGAUUGGAAAAAGCAGCAUCACCUGCAGAGGUGCAAGGAUCCUCCCAAGAAGGACAGGUGUGUUCACAAAGCUCCUUCCCCACUCUGGGCUGGGUGCUGGGCUCACCACAAGCUUCCUCCACAGCUUCCAUCAGCAUUUUGGUUUUAUGUCUAACAGAGACUUUGGACCUGAUGUGGGGCAUAGAAGUGAUUCAUUUUUCUCAAAGGCUUUAUAACAAAAAACGAAAAGCCCCCCUCCACCACCACUACAUUUGCUGACUGUCAGCCCAGGCCAAACUUUCCCUCAGUUGAUGAUUGGGGCCUUAUCUGUGCAUAGAUAAGACGCAUCUCUGACCAGCCAUCCCUCACCCACAGUUCCCAGACCUGACAGAGCAGUUUCCACAACAAAGCAAGGUUGUGUCUCCAUAACACCAAUCUUGCCAGUUGUAACAGAAAAGCCUCCUGUUUAGAAUGGGGAAGAAAGAGGGAGAGAAAAACCAUAGAAGUUGCUCAGGAAAGAAAGACCACCCUCCAAGGAAUUAUACAGAUAUAUUCACUUUCUUUGAGCACAUUGAGACCAAUAUUGGUAGAUGGGGGAAUCAAAGGAAGAAGGGUCCAUGAAAUAUUCAGAUACACUUGACCUCAGAUACUCUUGAGUGUCCAGGCCUCCUAUCACUGCAUAAUUCAAAUGUAGCUUAGCCCACUAUGGUGGAACACACCUAUAAUCUCAGUGAUUCAUGAGGCUGAGGCGGGAGGAUCCCAAGUUUGAGGACAGUCUGGGCAACUUAGCAAGACCGUGUCUCAAAUUAAAAAUAAAAAGAACCUGGGAUGUAACUCAGUAGUAGAGUUCCCCUGGGUUCAAUCCCCAGGGAUACAAGGGGGCGGGGGGAGGCAGGUAAAACUGCUUCUUCAGAUACUCCCUGAGCUGGUAGCACUACAAAGGACCAAAAAAAGAAAGAAAGAAAAAAAUCAUCCCUCUGUGUGGUGAGUCAAUGCUCCACAUCGUGUCUUUUGAAAGCAUCAUGUCUACAAGGCAGGCUCCCAUUAUUUUAGGUGUUCAGUUUACGACUGGAAUUCAAAGAAACCACUUAUUUUGUAAUCAUCUCCAGUUUUUUUCCCUGCCCAGUUAUAUGGAUUUGAUGAUUUUUUUUUUACUUACUCCAUGUAUAUGAGUGUAAUUUUUUUUCCGAGUGAACCAUUUCUAUAUUCAGAGCUUUUAAAGCAAUUGUUGAGGUAUAAUCUACAUAUAGCAAAAUGAACACACAGCUUAAGCCUUUAGCUCAACAAGUUAAUGUAUGUAUAUAAGCUUACUGAAUAAGUUGCAAAUCAGGACUUAGAAUAUUUCUACCCCACCCCAUUUCUCCCAGUCUCCCAUGUCUCCCUUGUUCCAGUCCCCUGCCAGGCAAGAAUCCCCCACUGCCUCCAAGAUAAAACCCCUCUCCCCAACCCUCUCAGCCUAGGUCAUUGUUGCCUGUCCUUGAACUUCGGGUAAAUGGAGAGUACUUUGGCUCAGAUUUUUUUCCGUGAGAUCUGUCCAGUGUGCACAGCUGUGACUUGUUCUCUUACUUGCUUUGUAGGUAUACAGUUUUUCUUUUCUUUCUUUUUUUCCCCCCUUACCUGAGGCUUCAGUUCCCUUCCAAGUUUAGUGUAAGCCAAGAAUAAUCAAACCACUGCAUCUGGAUCAGAGACAAAUGACUUCCCAGAUUGGCCAGUUUUGUAGGGAACUUCAAUUGAAAUUCAAACAGUCAUCCACCGCUUCUCAAACCGGUUUCCCUACAUAAUGAGGAGCCCGAGGGUGACUACAGGAGGAAAGGUUAAACUGAAAAACUUGAAGGGUCCACUUUUAAAGAUAAGCAUACAAGAAUUCCUAAGAAGUGCAUAAAAGUUUGAGGCAGGUUUUAGUGGGAAAAAUCAGUCUGACUGCAGAAUCCACUUUAAUUCAAGCCCAUUUCCUGCAAUCUUUUCCAUUCCCUUUUUUCUUCUGAAGGAGAAGCAGAACAGUAGAGAUAUGCACCUAAUCCUCCACAGUCAUGGAGCAUCAUCCUUGUAAUCCAGAGUUGGUGGACAUAAAAACUACAAGGUAGCUUGUCAGAAAUACCCAUCCCCAAGCCUAUCCUGAGCAAAUAGGACUUGGGGAACAGGGCAAGGUAUACUAUUUAACAGCGACCAGGAAAUAUUCCUUAUUAAAGGUUGAGAUCUGCUGUUCUUGAGAAAGGCACAGUUUGGCAUGUAUUUCUAGUGGAUCUUGGAGGGCAAAUCUAAAAAUGAAUAGUAUAUUACCCAGCUCCUACUAGUCCAUAUUUUAAUUGACUUGUUUUGUUUUUUUGGAAGAAAUAAAGACAGAGGGUAUGCAAACACACCUUCUAGGUUUGUCUGCAUCCUUGGUUCACAAGUUCUAUUUAAAAUAAAUGAUGACUCCUAUAAAAUAUAAUUUAGAAUCAUGAAAACAAUAGAGAUUAAAAUGUUAAACCCUCAGAGGGAAAAAAUAAUUAAGUAUUCACAAUUUGAUCGAUUUAUUCGUCCUAUCAAGAUCAUUCAGAAAGAAAACAUUUAAUUUUAUUUUGUUCAUGUAAACAUGGACAGACAGGAUGCUGAGUGUGUCAGAGGAGCUCAGGGAGGGCCUUGGAGCUUAUUUUUGCUAACAUGAAAAUAUUAGGCUUAGAGAUUGAAUGUUUUAAAUCAAUAAAAUAGAUCUGAAAAAAAAAAGAAAAGAAAAUAGAUCUGUAAAUUUAAAUUUUAUUUUUUAAUUUCAAAACCUCUUCCUGAUAGGCCAUAAUAUAUAGCGAAAGUAUAAAAAAAGAAGAAGCUACAAUAUGAAUUAUGUGAUCCUGUUUUUAUAAAACUCAGCAAAAUAAUCUAUGUUUAUAUAUGUAUACAUGUAUAUUUAUGCAUACAUAUAUACAUAUACUCACAUACAUUCAUAUACAUGUAUAUAUGAUUGACCUCUCUCCCCAAAUAUAUGAAUGAUCCUGAUAAAAUGAAUAAAUGGCUGAAAUUGUAAAUACUUACUUUUUAUCUCUGAGGAUUUAAAUUUUUACACACACACACACACACACACACACACACUUAGGAGGUUAGCAAUGGUUAUUCCUAGAGGUGAGAUUAUAAGAUUGGGGGUAGGGAGUAAUGAACAAAGAGGGAUUUUCACUUUUUAUUACUAAAUAGUAGUAAUAGUUUUUGAAAUAAUUUUAUCCCACAAUAUGUACUGUUCUUUAGUUUUAAAAGUCAAAAUUAAAAGAAUUUGUUCAUGUGUAAGCAGUUAAGUGGAGUUGACUUAAAUUAGAGGAAAUGGCAUGGUUUGACUUUGACAGGACAGAGAAGGAGCUGGGUUCAGGUCUGCAGGCCUGCCUUCCAAUGUGAGCAUCUCCCAGCAUUUGGUCCUAGGGCUUCUUUCUGAGGGAUCCUAGAAAGCCCAGACACUGGCUAGAGGAGAAAAUUGGACUUCUGGUUCUAAUCUGGUCACAGAUCUAAAGUGUAGUCCAUUUCCCUUAGUGACAAUCCUUCCUCGGUAGGACAUUUUGCAGAAAUGAAAGUUUCUGAAAAUACACAGUUUUCAAAGAAAAGAGAUGACAAAAUCAGUUGCCUCUUUGCACCAGCCUGUGUUAUCUGGAUAAGGAUAAUCACAGCAAACCCAUGAAUCUGACUGCAGAAUCCGCUUUAAUUCAAGCCCAGCUCAGCUGUCAACUGUAACAACCUAAAAGUUGUAAACACACGACCUAUCACUAAGUCCUCAUCACCAGAGACCCGAGGUCAGUGGUAUGGCUCCACGUUGUGCAGUGUUGUCUUGAUUUCCUUAACUCAUUUCACCCUGGGUGUUACCAGAUGCCCAGGAUUAGAGGAUGACUUAGUCUAGAAGGUGUUCACAGGGAGACGCUGUGGUUAUGCGCCCCCUGGUGGCAGUGGUAAACAUCCUCCUGGGGGAUUUCUGUAUGCUUAAAAGGUCAACACCUUCCUGCCCUGACUGGUUCACCUACUCUUAGAUUGAGCCCCGGAUCUCUUUUCUUUCCACAGUUCAUCUCAGGUUAUAUUAAGAUGUUAUUGAGGGCUGGCGUGGAAGAGCUCAGUGGAAGAGCACUUGCCUAGCAUGUGUGAGGCACUGGGUUCAAUUCUCAGCACCAGAUACAAACAAAUAAAGACUCAUUAACAACUAAAAAAUAUUUUUUAAAAAAGAAAGAAAGAUGUUAUUGAAUAACCGGUGUGUCGUAUGUAGCACUUCCUGUCUCCAGAGUUUGUUUUGUUGGCGAGAUUUUUCUCGAAUUUUAUUAUCAAGCCAUACAACCUUCAUUUAGAUACUGAAAUAUUUCAUUUGUUUAAAAUUAAGUCAUUUUCAUUGAAGGCUUACACCUGUGGUAGACAGGAAUCGUCUAUAUCACUUCCUUUCCAUUCAAUUAAGUCCUUACUACUUGAAAUGUUGUCCCAGGAUUAAGAGAGACCAACAGUUAGUGGCAUCACCUGAGAGCUUAUUAGAAAUGCAGAAUUGCAGUCUUGCCACAGACCUGCUAAAUCAGAAUCCUCAUUUUUACAAAAGAUUCCUAUGCAUAUGAAAGUUGAGAAGCAUGCAUUUGGUUGAUGCUUCCUCAUAGAUUAGUCCACUAAUCAGGACUACAUAUCUGUUUUGUUUCAUAUUGCGUUGCUGUAACAAAAUGCCCAAGACUGAUUAACUUACAAAGAAGAUUAUUCAUUCACAAUGGCAGAGGGUCCAAACAACAUGGUGGCCAGAAUCCUAGUGAGCUCCCCCUGGCUGCAUCACAACAUUGUUGAAGUAGCAGAAAAGGAACUGGCUAUAUGCAGAAGAAGCCAAGUACAUGGGAUGGCCUCCUUAAUAACAAACUUGUCUCACAACUAAUCAAGUCCCAUAAAAGCUAAUGCUCCCAAGAGAAAUCAUCAAUCCAUUCAUGAGGGCGGUGCCCCCAUAGCUUAAUUACCUCCCACCAGGCUUUACAUCUUAAAGGUUUUACUACCUCAACACCACUGCACUGGGGACAGUUUUCAGCAUAUGAACCUUUGGGGGACACACUCAACCCAUAAUACAAGCCAGAGUAAUAACUACCCCUAUUUAUAGCUGAUGAUAACACUCAAGAUUACAUAAACUAUUUUACUUUUCCAUGUCUUGUUUGCAUUUAAACCCCUCUUAAAUAUGGAAAAUGUAACAAAACUGAAUUUUCAGUGUUUAAGCAUUUAAUCUAUAAGCAAUAAAUUCUGAAGUCCCUAAGGAAUAAGAAUUUCAGCUACAGCAUCAUUUAGCAAGGCACUAUAUUCCACAUAAUAUUCAAAAGAAAACUUUCUACAUCAAAUUCCACAUAUAUUGUAAACUAUGUUAGUUUGACGACAUGUGUAUAAUGCAUAUCAAGCACAAAAUAGGGCAUACCCUAAACUUUGAAAAAAGUAUCACCAAAAUUGGAGGAUACAAUCCUGCCUUGGCAUAAUUCCUUUUAAGUUUUUCAAAGUGUUCACCUACUUAGUAUGCAUUAGCCUAGUAGUCAUUAAAAUAUUAUGUCCAAGAAAUAUCAAAAUUUUUAAUACGAUGAGAAAACUUAUUAAAGGAAUGAAAAAAGUCCUUUGAGAUGUUAAAAAUUAGGUGCAAUCAUUUUCAUUGAACUUUUUAUUUUGAGCUAAUUUUAGACUUAUGGGAAGUUGCAAAAUAGUACUGAGAUUUGCUGCCAGCCCCUCAUCAAUCUUCUUUUAAUGGUAUCACUUUGGGUAUUUAUAUUAUAACAAUCAGAGCUAUGAAAUUAUUAUAGGUGCAAUACUAAUUUGCAGUCCUGAUUUAAAUGUCAUAAUUUUUUCUUCUAAUACUCUUUUUUUUUCUCUUCAAGUAUCCAAUUAAGAAUUCUACAUUGCUUUAAAUUAUUUUUGCUCCUCUGUUUUCUAAAAUCUAGGACAAUUCUUCAAUCUUUCCUCUUUCAUGACUGACACUUUUGAAGCAUACUGAGAGUCUAUUGCAUGGAAUGUCCCUUAUUAAGAGGUUUUCUGAUAUUCUUAUGAUUUUUAUGAAGUUAUGCAUUUUUUAAUUAUUAUUCUUAUUUGUUCGACUUAGUUGUACAUGACAUCAGAAUGCAUUUCAAUUCAUCGUACACAGAUGGAGCACAACAUUUCAAUUCUCUGGUUAUACACGGUGUAGAGAUGCGCUGUUCGUGCAAUCAUACAUUUUCUUAGGGUAAUGAUGUCCAUCUUGUUCCAUCAUCUUUCCAACCCCCUUAACCCCUCCCCACCCUCCCUUUUGCCCAAUCCAAAAUUCCUCCAUUCUUCCCAUGUGCUCCCCACCCAUCAUAGAUCAACAUCCACUAAUCAGAGAAAACAUUUUGGUCUUUAGUUUUGGGAGAUUGGCUUUGAAGUUAUGCAUUUUUUUUUUUUUUUUUUUUUGCAGUGAAAUGACACCAUGUUUUUCUCUGUGCAACCUUCCAAGGGAUUCAUGGUGUCAGUACUAUUUCUUAUAAUGGGUGAUGAUAAACUGGAUUACUUGGAAUUAAUAUUUUGGGUAGAUACUUAGUAACUACACACAUCUUGUUUCUCCUCAAAAUUCCACAGUCAUUUUAGUAUCUAUUGAUGGAUCUUUCUGCAACAAUGAUUACCGUGGGACUUAAAUGUCUUGUGAAAAGUUACAUGCCAUUUUCCUGAAGCAGUGAAUGACUACUGGAGAAGAGUAAAAUGUGUGUAAAUAGACUGGAAAUUUGAAGAGGAAAGGAGGCAAUGUUCAAGCAAAAAAACAAUGACCAAUGGGGAGAGGAGAGCAUAUGGCACCCUAUAAGUUAUAUUUCCAUCCUAUCUUGGUGUUCCAGAGAAGUGCUUCUGUAAGAAGCAGCAGGCAACUUCCAGACCUCCUAGCACCUAACUUCAAGACCUUAUUAUCUCCCAUGGAUAAGAUUUCCCAUGCAAGGAUCUGAAUCUACUAGCCAAUGACUCAGGAUUCUAAGACUUGAAGUCAUAUCUUUAAAAGACCCAGGGUGCUGUUCAGAGUGGAGCAAAACCAUAUACCUAUCUGUAUACCAAUCUUAUCUGCAAGUAAAGUAUAUAAAUCAAGAUGAGGCAGUUGUCUAUAAUAAAAUAGACUGCAUUUUAAUUUAUAAACCACCCACAUUUUAUUAGCAUUAGUAAAUUCCUUUGAUAGACACACAGCUUUUGUCUUUGGUUACUGGAGGUGUUUUACAUAAAGAACUCUUUGGUCAGAUCUAUUGAGGUGUUUUACAUGAAGAACUCUUUGGUCAGAUCUAUUGAGAAUUAUGCUGUGGGUGGUCUGCAGCUUCAAAAUGUCAUGGUUCACAGGUGUUUUGUGCAUUACACUCUCUUUAUAUUUAAGAGAAACUUCAGAGGCACUGAAAUUACAUUAGGAUCUCCUUGUUCACACAGCAAACCCCUUUAAUUCCCUACCAAGCAACAAUCCAUGGUUUCCAGAGCACUGGUAAAUAUUCCACCAAAUGCAGAGCUAGAAGGAACCAAGACCUAAUUCUGGAUUUUCCACAGAUGUGCAAGAUGAGAAAAUGUCACAUCUUCCAGAUGCCUUCAUUUUAUUAAGAAUACCAGUUUUAAAAAUGGGAGUUCAUAACCCACUUGAAUCAAAGUGUGAAAUAUGAUAUAUCAAGAACUAUGUAAUGUUUUGAACAACCAACAAUUAAAAAAAAAGAUGGAAAAAAAAAGAAUACCAGUUUUGUACAUGUAUGAAGACUUGAAUGGGUGUCAACAUACUUUGUGUACAGAGACAUGAAAAAUUGUGGUAUAUAAGUGUAUGAAGAAUUGUAAUGCAAAAAAAAACAAAGUACAUAUAAAGACAUAAAUUGGC